GGGUGACCAGAAGAUUCUGGGUCUACUGGAUUUUGAAAAAAGGCAGACAGCAGAGUGAGACGGAGACAGUCUGGAGAGCCAGCCAGCAGAACUCUGCACAGCUGUAUUCUCCACCUCCCACCUUGCGCCCUGCUGUCCCCGGGGUCGUGGACCAGCAGAGGGUGGGCAGGAGACCGCAUUCACAGUGUGGCUCCUCACUGUCAUCCCAGAGUCUCCCCUCACGAGCACCCCGGCUGCAGGGUGUAACCUGAGGCCCUAGCAGGGCCCAUGGAGCUUCUGCUGCUUUUCCCCGGGGGCCCUGAUGUGACAUUUCUCGUCCAGGAAGAGGAUGGAAGAUGAUAAAUUGAGCCACGCAGAGGAGAGGUAACUCCCUCCUGUCCUCAGAGUGUCCCGAAGACCCUCCUUUGCCUGGUGAGUGACAUACUAGAGCCCGCACGGUGACAGCUCAGGUAUGUGGCACCCCUCGGACCCACCCCUCCCUGGGUGGAGUGGCCCAGCUGUGGUGGGCACUUCCUCACCCAGCCGUGGGCACAGGCCAGACCCUGAGCCCAGCGGCCCUGUAAUUUCAGAUGUAGCUGGGCAUGUGUGUGUUAUUGGGUGAUACUUAAAUCCUAACCUUUUCAAAAGCAAACCCAAGUAAGCACAUAUUGGAGAACCAUAAUUCCAAGCUUGGAGGCCUCCCUCAAGGCGAUGGGGAGUGUGGCAUCGUGACCGCUAACCCGGUCCCUCCGCGGCCUUGGGUUUAAAAGCGUCUGUGUCCAGCCGGGAGGUGAACUCCUGACAGCAACGCCCGUCCAGCCCACACCUCUGCCUGGCAGUGUGCAGCAGGACCCCUGAAGCCCAAGUCGAGAGCAGCGCCUGGUCUCCACCCGAGACUGGGUGGCGGAGAAGCGCUGCCUCUGACCUCAGUGAGCAUGGAGAGGCGGUGACAGGUUUGGACAGUAGAGAUUUCAGCAAUUUCUGGAAGGGCUUCAUUUGAGGCUGGGUCCGAGCACCGCCCCGCAGCCUUCCUGGCCCCAGCCCUUCACAGGAGCCUGCUCGGGGAGCCUCGUGGGCGUCAAUGGAGCUGGACGGGGGGCUUCCUCUGCACCCCCAGUGCAGAGUCUGAACAGGACCUGCCUCGGAAGCAGAAUCGGAUUCCGCUGACUGGGACAACGUCACGUGACAGCGAGUCCAGCGCCCGGGGCCUGGGAGAACAAAGGCGGCUGACCCGUCACAGGAGCUGCACGGCAAUGCAUCUGAGACCAUGCGGUGUCACCUUCACAGAAGUGCUCUGGCACAGAGACUCCAGCCUUGCCGGCCUCUCGCCUCCCAAGCACAGAAGCCUCCAGAACGCUGCUUCAAGGACAAGCCCAGGAGACCUGCCAUGCUCAUGCGUGUCUUUGGAAACAGGUUCUCUAAAUUUUGCUUGUGGUUUGUUAAAAAAAAAAAAAAAAUCAGAAGUGUAAUCAAAGACUUCAACAAACGAAGCACCAAAACACUUCAGCUUUGAAAUGUAGAAUUGCAAUGACUGGAAACACGGCUCGCAAAGCAAAAGACAUUAAAAUUCAGUCAUCCCUACAGAAGCCGGACAGGAAUUGAUCACAUCCACUAGUGAAGGCUCAGAAAGUGACAAGAUUUCAUUUGGAAAUCGUACCUGUGUCCUUGGGAACAUCCUGAACCUUGGGAAGCAUCAGCUCAUGGAGUUCCUAUUAACUGGAUAAAUUUAUAUUCUAGAUUGAAAUGGAAUGGAAUUAAGUAGGCCCACGGUUUUGCAGCACGUACAUUUGAAGAAUCAUUAAAAAUCAUCAUAGAAACAAUUUAUUUGACGAGAUUUGUCUUGUACAAAUAUUUGUUAAAUAUUUGUACUCCGAACGGAGGCCAAAAGACAGCACCUGUGGGAAACUUUAGGCUGAAAUAUUUACACAUUUCAACGCAAAAUGUCAGAACUGAGAAUCUGCCGUGUGCUCACAAGGUACCCCAACCCUGCAGAGAGAGACAAUUUUCUUGAUCCAAAUGUCAUCAUCUACCCAGAAGUGUCCAUGGACAGCACAGAUUCACAUUCUGGGGCCGUUAAAAUGUGAAUGUGAGCUAUCAAUGGACACUUCUGGGUAGAUCAUGACCUUUGGAUUAAUUAAGAUUGAUCCAGGCCCGGCGCAGUGGCUCAUGCCUGUAAUCCCAACACUUUGGGAGGCCGAGGUGGGCAUAUCACUAGAGGUCGGGAGUUCGAGUCCAGCCUGGCCAAUUUGGUAAAAACUGUCUCUACUGAAAAUACAAAAAUUAGCUGGGCACGGUGGCAGGUGCCUUUAAUCCCAGCUGCUUGGGAGGCUGAGGCAUGAGAAUCGCUUGAACCCAGGAGGAAGAGGUUGCCGUGAGCCAAGAUUGCGCCACUGCACUCUAGCCUGGGUGACAGAGUGAGACUCCAUCUCAAAACAAACAAACAAACAAACAACCCAAAAAAUUAGC
rnacentral:lncRNA from 1 species